AGAGUUUGAUCCUGGCUCAGAUUGAACGCUGGCGGCAGGCCUAACACAUGCAAGUCGAGCGGUAGAGAGAAGCUUGCUUUUCUUGAGAGCGGCGGACGGGUGAGUAAUGCCUAGGAAUCUGCCUGGUAGUGGGGGAUAACGUUCGGAAACGGACGCUAAUACCGCAUACGUCCUACGGGAGAAAGCAGGGGACCUUCGGGCCUUGCGCUAUCAGAUGAGCCUAGGUCGGAUUAGCUAGUUGGUGAGGUAAUGGCUCACCAAGGCGACGAUCCGUAACUGGUCUGAGAGGAUGAUCAGUCACACUGGAACUGAGACACGGUCCAGACUCCUACGGGAGGCAGCAGUGGGGAAUAUUGGACAAUGGGCGAAAGCCUGAUCCAGCCAUGCCGCGUGUGUGAAGAAGGUCUUCGGAUUGUAAAGCACUUUAAGUUGGGAGGAAGG
rnacentral:rRNA from 1 species